rnacentral:rRNA from 1 species
CCUACGGGUGGCAGCAGUGGGGAAUAUUGCGCAAUGGGCGAAAGCCUGACGCAGCGACGCCGCGUGAGGGAUGAAGGUCUUCGGAUCGUAAACCUCUGUCAGCAGGGAAGAACGGUCACUGUGCUAAUCAGCAGUGAAUUGACGGUACCUGCAAAGGAAGCACCGGCUAACUCCGUGCCAGCAGCCGCGGUAAUACGGCGGGUGCGAGCGUUAAUCGGAAUUACUGGGCGUAAAGCGCUCGUAGGCGGUAUGUCAAGUCAAGGGUGAAAUCCCCGGGCUCAACGUGGGAACUGCCUUUGAAACUGGCAAACUGGAGUGUGUGAGAGGAUAGUGGAAUUCCAGGUGUAGGGGUGAAAUGCGUAGAUAUCUGGAGGAACAUCAGUGGCGAAGGCGACUAUCUGGCACAUAACUGACGCUGAGGAGCGAAAGCGUGGGUAGCAAACAGGAUUAGAUACCCGUGUAGUC